CCCUACGGGGCGCAGCAGGCGCGAAAACUUUACAAUGCGAGAAAUCGUGAUAAGGGAACCCCGAGUGCCCGUAAAUCCGGGCUGUCCAUCAGUGUAAAUAACUGGUGAAGAAAGGGCCGGGCAAGACCGGUGCCAGCCGCCGCGGUAAUACCGGCGGCUCGAGUGGUGGCCGCUAUUACUGGGCUUAAAGCGUUCGUAGCUGGGCUGUUAAGUCUCCUGGGAAAUCCACCGGCUCAACCGAUGGGCGUUCAGGAGAUACUGGCAGCCUAGGACCGAGA
rnacentral:rRNA from 1 species